UGAUUUAUACAUGUCUCUAAUGUUUUUUGCAGCCACAUGUUGACUUUGGAUUAAAAGUACUUGGUGCAAAUGCUAUGUCCAUUCCUGGCCUAUAUGGGUUUGUCCAGGAAAUGAUUAAAGAUCAAGUUGCAAACAUGUAUUUAUGGCUCAAAUCUCUAGAAGUACAAAGUAUGGAUCCAACAAAGUAACGAUCUGAGCCCAAGGUCAGUAUACAUUUUCUUUUUCAGUCAUGCUUUUUGUAGUUGUGAAGUUUAGGUAUCUCUUUUUCCAUUAUUUCAGGUAAGGCAUCUAGGACACUUAGCUGGUGGUGCUUUAACCAAUGCAUUGGGUGUUGGAAGAAAAUGGUAAGGAUGGUGGUUGAUGAGAGCUCAAGAGGAUUUGGUUUCACAGGGAAGAAUGAGAUUAUAAAUGGGAAGAUAGCUGUAAUUGGGUUCUUGCUGUUGUUGGAUUUUGAGCUAUUGACUAGUAAAGGUAUUCUUAAGGGAACAGGCUUCUUGGACUUUAUUUAUUCUAUUUCAAAUGCUUUGCAAUAGUCUCAAGAAUUAAUCAUAUUCCUCUUAAAUGAGAUGAGGAAGUUUUAAAGGCUUUGUUGAGUUCACUGUGUUUUUAUGUUAUAAUCUUUCUUUAUGUUAUUGUUUUUUGUAGAAACUAGGAUGAUCUAUAUAGUUUCUUCUUCUUCAUGUUUUCUA